GCAGCCAAAAAUAAAUAAAUUAAAAAAAAAAAAAGACUGAGGGACAGCAUCCGAAAAAGCCUGGCACUGAGAGAGACCCUUGGUUCCUGGGGAACUGACAAUACUACAGCCUUUCUAUCUGCAGCCUGGAGGUAGCAAUGGGGGAGGAGGAGGUAGUGUGGUGCAGUCCUUUAUUAGAGCAGAAAACUCCUAAGCCACUUGUACCCUACUUGCAGGAACUGGAAAUAUUGGAAAGGAACAAAAAGCUUCUGAGCAGGCAAAGGAACAAAGAAGUACAAGAUGUACGCCAACACUUCACACGUUGGUGCCACCCGACACAACCUCUCAAUUAGCAGAUGCCACAGAUGAGGUCCUGAGAGUGGGACCCUCAUGACGGGAUUAGUGCCCUUAUAAGAAGAGACACCAGAGAGCUUGCUUGCUCACUCUCUGCCAUCUGUGGACACAGGGAGAAGACAGCCAUUUGCAAGCCAGGAAGAGAGCUCUCCCCGGUACAUGAACAUGCUGGCACCUUAUCUUGGACUUCCAGGCUCCAGAACUGUGACAAAAUUAAUUUCGUUUUUUUAAGCUACCCAGUCUAUGAUAUUUUGUUAUGGCAGCCCGGCCUAAGGAAGGCAUCAAUAACAUUCACAGAAAUAAACUUCUAAAAGUUUUUACAAUUAGCAUCAAGAGAAAUGUAUUUGUUCAUAGCCUUUGACUCAUGAAUUUGCUUCUAGAAAUUUAACCUGGGGAACUAAUCAGGAAUAUAAUGCAAUAUUUUGUAUGUAAGAGUUUUAUCUCAUUUUGAUAUAAAGUAGUGAAAAAUGUCCAGCAAUAGGUAUUAAUGAACAAAUUAUAUGAAACAUGAACAUUCUGCAACCAUUAAAAAUUAUGUUUAAGGGGAAUUC